rnacentral:lncRNA from 1 species
UCGUCCACUUCAUUUUUUUAGGUGGCAUAGUAAAAAAUCAUCAUCAAAAUCUAAAAAUUACAAAUAUAAAACUGAAAAGGAAAAACCUAAUUUUUUUUGUCAGCAUCUAACUUUUUAAUUGAAAACUUAGAAUAUAAAACAUAAUCUAAAAACUAAAAAAAAGAGUAAAACUUAUUUAUUGGUUCAACCGGCGGUUCAACCGGUAUCGGAUUCCGGGGUUUAAUGGGUUUUUGCGGGUUUUUACGGUUUUUUGCGAGUUUUUAAAUAUUGGGUUUUUCAUAAAACCCAAACCGGAUUUUUUCUGGGUCACCGGAUUUAUCGGUUCAACCGCGGGUCCGGG